rnacentral:rRNA from 1 species
UACGUAGGGGGCGAGCGUUGUCCGGAUUUAUUGGGCGUAAAGAGCUCGUAGGCGGCUCAUCGCGUCUGCCGUGAAAACCCGCAGCUCAACUGCGGGCUUGCGGUUGAUACGGGUGGGCUGGAGUUCGGUAGGGGAGACUGGAAUUCCUGGUGUAGCGGUGAAAUGCGCAGAUAUCAGGAGGAACACCGGUGGCGAAGGCAGGUCUCUGGGCCACUACUGACGCUGAGAAGCGAAAGCAUGGGGAGCGAACAGG